GGUAAUUUCGUUCAUGGUUUUCGUUCAAUAGAAAUCGACGUGUUUCCCGGUGUGCAAACAUUACCUAUCAAUAUGCGUCGUUGGAUAAUGGCUAAACUACUAUGAUGAAAUCAUAACCGAUGCGUGUCCGUUUGAAAAUGAACGACCCUGCUAUCCUAUGCCGUCACCGAUUAAUUUACCUGCGGCCAACGGAAAACUUACACCGUAGAAGUUCAUUUUUUGUUAUUUAUGAAAUAGUGCCUAUCAAAUCUCU